CAGAAAUAAGGGCUCCUUUGAGGACAAAGAAAGCAUUUCGGAUCGUCGUUUUGCUCAUUGAAGCAGUCAUUCUUUGGUCUGAAAGGAGCUCCAAAUUCUU
rfam:Amborella trichopoda AMTR_V1.0_contig_32096, whole genome shotgun sequence.